GAUGAACGCUGGCGGCGUGCCUAAUACAUGCAAGUCGAGCGAACAGACGAGGAGCUUGCUCCUCUGACGUUAGCGGCGGACGGGUGAGUAACACGUGGAUAACCUACCUAUAAGACUGGGAUAACUUCGGGAAACCGGAGCUAAUACCGGAUAAUAUAUUGAACCGCAUGGUUCAAUAGUGAAAGACGGUUUUGCUGUCACUUAUAGAUGGAUCCGCGCCGCAUUAGCUAGUUGGUAAGGUAACGGCUUACCAAGGCGACGAUGCGUAGCCGACCUGAGAGGGUGAUAGGCCACACUAGAACUGAGACACGGUCCAGACUCCUACGGGAGGCAGCAGUAGGGAAUCUUCCGCAAUGGGCGAAAGCCUGACGGAGCAACGCCGCGUGAGUGAUGAAGGUCUUCGGAUCGUAAAACUCUGUUAUUAGGGAAGAACAAAUGUGUAAGUAACUAUGCACGUCUUGACGGUACCUAAUCAGAAAGCCACGGCUAACUACGUG
rnacentral:rRNA from 1 species